AACGAACGCUGGCGGCAUGCCUAACACAUGCAAGUCGAACGAGACCUUCGGGUCUAGUGGCGCACGGGUGCGUAACGCGUGGGAACCUGCCUUUAGGUUCGGAAUAACUCAGAGAAAUUUGAGCUAAUACCGGAUGAUGUCUUCGGACCAAAGAUUUAUCGCCUUUAGAUGGGCCCGCGUUGGAUUAGCUAGUUGGUGGGGUAAAGGCCUACCAAGGCGACGAUCCAUAGCUGGUCUGAGAGGAUGAUCAGCCACACUGGGACUGAGACACGGCCCAGACUCCUACGGGAGGCAGCAGUGGGGAAUAUUGGACAAUGGGCGAAAGCCUGAUCCAGCAAUGCCGCGUGAGUGAUGAAGGCCUUAGGGUUGUAAAGCUCUUUUACCCGAGAUGAUAAUGACAGUAUCGGGAGAAUAAGCUCCGGCUAACUCCGUGCCAGCCGCCGCCGUAAGAC
rnacentral:rRNA from 1 species